rnacentral:rRNA from 1 species
UGGGGAAUAUUGCACACUGGGCGCAAGCCUGAUGCAGCCAUGCCGCGUGUAUGAAGAAGGCCUUCGGGUUGUAAAGUACUUUCAGCGGGGAGGAAGGCGAUAAGGUUAAUAACCUUGUCGAUUGACGUUACCCGCAGAAGAAGCACCGGCUAACUCCGUGCCAGCAGCCGCGGUAAUACGGAGGGUGCAAGCGUUAAUCGGAAUUACUGGGCGUAAAGCGCACGCAGGCGGUCUGUCAAGUCGGAUGUGAAAUCCCCGGGCUCAACCUGGGAACUGCAUUCGAAACUGGCAGGCUAGAGUCUUGUAGAGGGGGGUAGAAUUCCAGGUGUAGCGGUGAAAUGCGUAGAGAUCUGGAGGAAUACCGGUGGCGAAGGCGGCCCCCUGGACAAAGACUGACGCUCAGGUGCGAAAGCGUGGGGAGCAAACA